rnacentral:rRNA from 1 species
UGCAGAAUCCCGCGAACCAUCGAAACUUUGAACGCAAGUUGCGCCUUAAGCCAUUAGGUUGAGGGCACGUUUGCUUGGGUGUC